rnacentral:ncRNA from 2 species
UCCUUAUAAAGAGUCGGGGGAAGAACUGGUCUUAUGAUCCCGCAGCAACCUCUUCGGUGUAAGAAGGUGCUAAUUCCAGCAGGUGAUUACCUGAGAGAUAAGGA